rnacentral:rRNA from 1 species
GCUAACGUCCGUCGUGAAGAGGGAAACAACCCAGACCGCCAGCUAAGGUCCCAAAGUCAUGGUUAAGUGGGAAACGAUGUGGGAAGGCCCAGACAGCCAGGAUGUUGGCUUAGAAGCAGCCAUCAUUUAAAGAAAGCGUAAUAGCUCACUGGUCGAGUCGGCCUGCGCGGAAGAUGUAACGGGGCUAAACCAUGCACCGAAGCUGCGGCAGCGAC